AGUAACUCCUGAAAAGUUUUUUCGGGAUGCUGGGCCCGGUCCGGCCAUCCCCGUCCUUCACCAUCCAGCCUCCCUGCACGAGUGUGGGUGCAGCCCGUGGUUCGAACUGGCUUCGCCCCUUAGUAAUCUCCCUGAUUGGAAAGGGGCGUAAAAAAUUUGCAAAAAAAAAGAUCCGACUCCGACUCUACCUUUUCAAAGAAAUCCGACUCCAGCCAAAACCCUCCGACUCUGCAACCACGCAGGUCCGGUUCUAGAGGUGAUGCCGCCAUCGUGCCAUUUAAUUUUAGCCGUCCCCUCGUUUUCUAAACCAGCGUAUUUUAAAUUAAAAGUUUUCGCAAUUACGCAUUUUCCAUACUUAUAAAAGU
rnacentral:lncRNA from 1 species